UUUGCAUCAGAAAAUUCAUCCAGUAUUCAAAUAAUUUCUGCAUUUCAUAUUAGAGUUAAAAACAGAGAAGGUUCAAACACUACAUUGGUUCGCCGUUUCUUGCUGAUUAAAGUGCUUUCUCCGCAAGAAGAAAGAUCGUUGUAUCCUGGGAGGCAUUCGCCAUUACAAACCUUCAAGCACCAGUGAGGGGCGAUUUGUCUUAAGGCUAUAGAAUCAAAUUCUAGCCUCGAUCUGUCAAAGAGACAUGGUGCGCCAAGCUGUCGAAGACGCCAAACAGAGGGGGCAGGUGGCAGUCAGAGCUGAAGUUGAGAAAUGGCUGACCAGCGUGGACAGGCUCACCGAAGAGGUGACCAAAUUCUUCGAGUACAAAGGUGAUGCCAAUGACGGCUGGUUUCGUUGGUUGUAUGGCUUGUUGAUGUCGCGAUACCAAUUGAGCAAGAAGGCAAACAAGAUGAUAGAGCAUCUUGUUCAACUCCAAGCUGAUGGAGCCUUUCUAAUUAAUUAGUACGUUAUAGUAUGUGUUUUUUGUUUGUGACUUGUUUCUUCAGCAUGUGUUUUGUUUUAACUGAAUGGUGUUUAUGAAAUAAUUUGCGCACGGAUUGAUUGAAGAUGUGAUCAAUGACAGUGUGAAAAA